CCCAGCAGUGAAAGUGCACACUGCCUGUGCCCUGGUCAUUGAUAGUGCAGGGAGAGGAAUCGCCGAAAGCCUUUCCCCGUGUUUGGAGGGUCCAAAAA
rnacentral:snoRNA from 1 species